rnacentral:rRNA from 1 species
AGUGAACGCUGGCGGUAGGCCUAACACAUGCAAGUCGAACGGCAGCACAGUAAGAGCUUGCUCUUACGGGUGGCGAGUGGCGGACGGGUGAGGAAUACAUCGGAAUCUACUUUUUCGUGGGGGAUAACGUAGGGAAACUCACGCUAAUACCGCAUACGACCUACGGGUGAAAGCAGGGGAUCUUCGGACCUUGCGCGAUUGAAUGAGCCGAUGUCGGAUUAGCUAGUUGGCGGGGUAAAGGCCCACCAAGGCGACGAUCCGUAGCUGGUCUGAGAGGAUGAUCAGCCACACUGGAACUGAGACACGGUCCAGACUCCUACGGGAGGCAGCAGUGGGGAAUAUUGGACAAUGGGCGCAAGCCUGAUCCAGCCAUACCGCGUGGGCGAAGAAGGCCUUCGGGUUGUAAAGCCCUUUUGUUGGGAAAGAAAAGCAGCAGGUUAAUACCCCGCUGUUCUGACGGUACCCAAAGAAUAAGCACCGGCUAACUUCGUG